rnacentral:pre_miRNA from 1 species
CUUCAGCGAACAUUCAACGCUGUCGGUGAGUUUGGUCCCUCAAGAGAAACCACCGAUCGUUGACUGUACCUUGAGG